rnacentral:rRNA from 1 species
AGCGCCCUACGGGAGGCAGCAGUGGGGAAUAUUGCACAAUGGGGGAAACCCUGAUGCAGCGACGCCGCGUGAGUGAUGAAGUAGUUCGGUAUGUAAAUCUCUAUCAGCAGGGAAGAUAAUGACGGUACCUGACUAAGAAGCUCCGGCUAAAUACGUGCCAGCAGCCGCGGUAAUACGUAUGGAGCAAGCGUUAUCCGGAUUUACUGGGGGUAAAGGGAGCGCAGACGGCAGGGCAAGUCUGAUGUGAAAGUCCGGGGCUCAACCCCGGGACUGCAUUGGAAACUGUCCGGCUAGAGUGCAGGAGG